UACGAAGGGGGCUAGCGUUGCUCGGAAUUACUGGGCGUAAAGCGUGCGUAGGUGGUUUGUUUAAGUCUGUUGUGAAAGCCCCGGGCUCAACCUGGGAAUGGCAAUGGAUACUGGCAGGCUAGAGUGCGGUAGAGGGUAGUGGAAUUCCCGGUGUAGCGGUGAAAUGCGUAGAGAUCAGGAGGAACACCGAUUGCGAAGGCAGCUCGCUG
rnacentral:rRNA from 1 species